CAGAACUUUAAUGGUGUUUGGGGUGUUGGGAUUACAGGUGACUUUUAUUUCCAUCUUUCCUUGUUUUCUUUGUUUAGCUUAUUUGGGUUUUCUAAACUGCCUCUCAUCACUGUGUACAAUUUUCAUAAUUGGUCAAAAAAGAAAAAGAAACAACUGUUAGGAAAGAAUGGAGGGACAGCUGAAGGCGUAUCCGCAGCUCUACCGCACCUAGAGGAGCAGGGCCUCCAGCCCGAGGAGCGGCCAGGCCCUUAUUUAGGCAGAGACGUCCCGAGCUCGCAUUCCAGUGGGAAUCCUCCCCGGCGCAUUCCUCCUCCAGCGCCGCCUCUUCCAGCUGCAGCCGCUCCCUCUCCCAGGGCCUCCCUCUCCUUUGGUAGCCGCCGCGGCCGAGCCAGACUGCGCAUCUGGACCUCAUUAGGGGCCGCCAGCACCAAAGCCGACACAUCUGGCCGCCGCGAGGCGAGUGCGCGGCAGGGCAGCGGAGGGGAAGGGGCACGUCAGGACAGGGCCGCCCGGCGCGCGCCGAGGCAUCUGGAAGUGGGAAGGCGGUGGGCAGCUGGCCGCAGACACUGCGCUGCCGGCUGGGCUGGCCCUGGCCUGGGAGCCCAGUGGCAUAGUGUCCUUGCUGGCAGGGGAGCCUGCGGCCCCCAGAGGCCUCCCACGCUGGGGGGGCGGGCAGGCCCGGGGAAAGGCAGGGACUCUGGACUCCAUGCACAGUGCUCGUGAUCUCAGUGAGGCGUGACGCUGGCUCCUGUGGGCCUGUCAGGAUGGGGAGCAGAGGGCAGCGUCGGGACCCGCUGCAAAGAAGGAAUGGCCAGUAACGGGGAUUGCCUCGGCUUGUUGUGGCCAAGCCUUACGGUGGUGGAGCUUUGGGGCGCAGGUCGGAGGCUGUCUUCUCCAUCACGUUUAUAGAAAAAUCGCAGAGAUCGUACAGAGAGUUCCAGCAAACCUUUCAUCCAACUUCUCCCGAGGUUAACAUCUUGCAUAACCAGUCUUACAGGAGUCACAGUUCCCAAGAGGAAGUGGUAUUUUCAGGCAAAAUGAAGUUUUCUGUUUAAAGUCUGACUUUCUGAUGGUGGGGCUUCAGUGAUCUAAGAGCAAGGCGUUUGGAGGACAGCAAAGCCUGCUAGUUGCCUUGAAACCAAACCCCAGAACCCUCCUCUGGUCUGCCUUGAGGGGAGGCUGUAAGGAUGGCCGGAGGUGGGGGAGGUAGACGUGUCUGGAGUGGAGGAGCCAGGACACUUCCCAGACAGAGCACUGUAUCACCAACAUAUUUAGAAGGAAUUAGAGUGAAAUGGACAUUUAUGUUGUCAGUCAAAACAGUGACCGAGUUUUUGUUUCCCUUCCAAAACCUGCUGCACCCUUCCGUCCUAAGGGAGGAGAAGGAGAGAGAAGGAACCUUAACAAACGCUGUCAAACGGCCAACACCGCUGACCUCCGGGCGCAUGGGGGAAGGGAGAGUCAGAGCCGGGAGAUGAGGGCAUUUGCUUUUUGCCUCUCAUCCUCUGUACAGUUCAAAAAGAGAGAGCAGUACGGGUGAUUUUUAUUUUGCGCCUAUGUGGGUUUUUGGGUAGUCCUCAACUUUUUUAUUUUGCAUACAACAUACUUUUGUAAUCAAGGGAAGACAGGUCAUAAUGAAAAAACCAAUCCGAAGUGGUUGGCCACUGGGUGGCCAUCCCACUGUCCCCACCUGCAGCCGCGCACCACCCUUGCCCCAGGGCUGGAAUCCCUGGGCUCGUGGCUGCCCACACUUGGCAGGGGUGGGAGUAGGGCAGAGAGCGAGCAGCCUUGGUCCUCCGCUGCGCCCACUCCGGCCCCUCUGGGCAAAUCUCUGACCCCUGGGCGGCAGACCCCGCCGGCUGAUAUUGCUGUCGUGGCCUUGGCUAUCUCCCACGCCUCCCGGCCGGGUGCCAGCUGCCAGGCCUCCCUGCUCAGCUGGACUGCGGCCCGCCCCCUUCUGACCAGCCUUUCCCGGGGCUGGGAUCAUCCUAGCGUUUCAGCUGCUGACACAUGGCACUUGGCUGGGUCGUUGAUGCUGCAACUCUGAUCUCAAGAAAGGCACCUCCAGCCUUCACCCAGACUGUCCGGAGUCUGUUUGGCCGUGAAGACCAAGGCUCAUCCUCCCAGUCAGCAGGUGAGCAUAGCACAAGGUCAACAGAGACCCUGGAGAGAGAGAGUGAAUCUGGCCCUGGCUUUGCGAGGCCCCCUGCAAAAGCCUCACAGAUUUUGGGGUCCUGAGACGCCUGCUUCCAGUAAUUGUGAUCCCAGCUGGGGGACCUCAAGCACGUCCCUCCUCUGUAACAUGGAGAUGGCAAGGAUCUCUUUUAUCCAGGGACUCUGUCAGGAGCAAAUAGGUUAAUGUACGGGAAGAUGCUCGUGAGUUGAAGGGACUUAAACGGGAUUUUCUGUGAAAACCCAUUCUGGCGCUUUGCGAAGUUUAAAAAAAUCCACUAGUUCUCAAGAGCUUGUUACCCACCGACUCUGUGUGCCUAGUACCUCAACUUAAUUCCCCCAGCAAGUCAAGACAUAGAAGAUGCAUAUGGCUCGUCACCAAGGAACUUACACUCAACUGGGGGAAAUGGAGCGCUCACACCAGAAGUCUGUUUUGUUUCUGUCAGUGAUUGGGUGCUGGAAUCAGGACACGUUCAGCCGGGGGGUGGGGGGGGGGAUGGGGGGGGAGGGGGUGGGGCCAGGGCCAGCAAGAGACCCCACUUUGGAGGUAGACAAACCUGAGUACAAAUGGCGGCUCUUCCCCUCGCUAAGUUCCUUGAGACUGUGGCUGAAUCAGUUUCUCUCACUGGGCUGCAAGUUCCCAGGCUGUGAGAAAGAGAUACUGAAACCCACCAUGGUAAGUCAUGGCGAGAGUUAAAGGAAAUAGUGUACACGGAGUGACCAGCUUGGUCCGUCUUAUAAAUACCUCCAAAGUGAGGAAAUCAACAAGCUUCCCCCCUUUUAUACAUUUAUUUUUAAUUAUGGUAAAAACACGUAAAAUUUACCCUCUUCACCAUUUUUAACCAUACAGUUGAGUAGUGUUAAGCGUAUCCACACUGUUGUGCAAUGAAUCUCUAGAACAUUUUUAUGUUGCAAAACUGAAACUCUAUACCCAUUAAACAACAACUCCCCAUUUUCCCCUCCCCCUAGUCUCUGGUAACCACUCUUCUACUUUCUGUUUCUGUGAACUUGACCACUUUAGAUAUUUCCUAUAAGUGUGAUUAUGCGGAAUUUGUCCUUUUGGGUCUAGCUUAUUUCACUUCGCAUAACGUCCUCGAGGUUCAUCUAUGUUGUGGCAUGUGACGGGAUUUCCUUCCUUUUUAAGGCUGAGUAAUAUUCCAUUGUGUGUAUAUACCACGUUUUGUUAUCCAUUAUCCUCGAUGGGCAUUUGGAUUGCUUCCUCUCUCAGUGGAAUUGUGGAUAACACUGCAAUGAACACGGGUGUGCAAAUAUUUCUUCAACACCCACCUUUAAACUCUUUUGGAUGUGUAUUCAGAAGUGGGAUUGCCGCCAAGGAGGAAACAAGGCACUCACCAGGCAGUCUGAUCCCCUCGUGCCACGUGUCACCCUUCACGGUGGCCUGUCACUGCUGUUAUCUUGCUCCUGACAUCUCUCCAAAGGUCACCUUUGACGAAGAAAUUGUUGUUGAGAAGUUCAAAGCCAGGACUGUUUGGCUGUGUUGAAAGAGCUUUGGGAGAAGGGCCUCGAGGCAUGACUGAGGGCCAAGUAGAGAGGCGGCCUGCGCUGGGGUGCUGCGCGGCUGGAGGAGGGCCCGCUCUGGGGAAGCUGAGUCAAAAGCCCAGGUGCUGCCCAGGAGGAAGAGACAAGCGAGAGAAAAUUCCAGAUAUGGGGCCCUGCAGGAAGAGAACAUCAUUGACUGUUGGGGCGCAGUUGAGCAGGGCCUGCAGCAUUCCCCAAAAGGAGAGUGUGUGCAGUGGUUUGAGCAUGGCUUGUAAAGUCAGAUAAGACUCGGGUGCAAACCUGCCCUGGCUCCACCGCUUAGUAGCUGUGUGGUCUUGGGCAAGUUAUGGAACCUCUCUGGGCCUCCAUUUCUUAUCUUUAAAAGGGGAACUAAAAUGCAACCUCAAGGAGAUCAGGAUUGUUUAUCACAACAGCCCCUGUUUAUUAAGCACCCAUUGUGUGCCAGGGGCUUUAUCAGGCACCUUCUAAGCACGGGAGUGAAUGCUCUGGAGUUUCACAGACUGUGGUUAAAGGCCCAGGUCUGCUACUUGUUAACUGUGUGGCCCCAGACAAGGCUCUUAAACUCCCUGGGCCUCAGUCUGCUCGUCUUUUAACGGGGAGGAUACAUGGGAAUGGUAAUGCCGGUCCCCGCAGGCUGACACAGGCAACAACGAGGUACCACACAGAGUUUUCAUUCCACCGUGCCCAGGGCAUGCCUCCUCUGUGCCCACGCUGUGCAAUCAAGGAUGAAUUAGACAAAACCCUGCCUUCAGGAAGUCACGCUGUAGUGAACGAGACAGACAAGGAGACAGCUCUUAGACCUGACAUGGAGCGGGGAAGGUGGGCAGCCGUGCUCUCCAUGUGGGCAGAGGCUGGAAACUGCAUUUGCAAAGCGCCUUCACGUGAAAUAAGGAUGGUUCCUAUCAAAGCCUGGUGGAGCUGAGGGAGAGGGGGCAUCACGUCCAGCCCCUCUCGAUGCCGCCCCUGUUUUUCUGGACUCCUGUGACUCUCGGGCUGGGGAAUGGGGAGCCCCACAUUCCUCUUUGUCAGUUCUCCCCUCCCAGGGCAAAUGGAGGGGUGGGGUGGGGUAGGGUGUCCUGAGGCUUGGAAACUGUCCCGGUGUCCACCCCAGCCCGGACAAGAGGCUCCGCAGAACUCAUGAAUGGACCGAUCUGCCGGAGACUUAGCAUUCUGGGAUGAAGACGCCAUCAGACUGAGGGCAGCAGGGGUGAGCUCUGGCACUGGAAGAAGUGGCCUGAUGUCUGGAGGCCAUGAGAGAGGGCAGUUGUCGUGUCCAAAGGGCCUCCCAAGAGACCCACCACUGACCGCUUGGCCCCUCGUUUUCCCUGGAAGGCUGUCGUGGGCACACUUGUCCUGCCUCCUGUUCCGCUGAGAGCUGGCAGGAGCAGGCACCUUGGCUGGGGGCCCUGAGCUCCUUCCAUCCAGCCCCUUGCCGUUCAGCACGUGCCUCUGCGGGCCAGCUUCUUGGGUUUCAGGCUCACAGCCUCCCAACCCAGGAGUGAACCUGCCCCUCUCACCAGAGAUGUGUGAGCCUGACAGUGAGGGUGGCCGAGAUGGUCUCUUGUCAACACAGACAGAGCAGGAGAGAAGGAGGGCUGGAGUGGGGGCGCUGGCUGAGCCUGAAGGCACAGAGGCCUGGUCCCUGGGAGUGUCACUGACCCCAGCAGCUGGGCCUAAGAGCGCCAGCCUGGGCCAACUCUGCUCCCCCUCACACAGAGGGAGGCUCUCGAGCCAGCCGCCUCGCUUCUCCUCCUCCAGGCCCGUCACCGUUUCCACACACAGCAGGGCCUGUGGGGGUGGAGGCUUUUUCCAGACAUGUAUUUAAGUGAGGAGAGAAAACAAGGCGAGUCGCCCGGGAUUUGCCAAGUCAGUAGGCAGGAACCCAACCCGGGAGGCCAAAAAUAAGACGCUGGCGAGGGUCACCCUGCUCCCCAGAGCCGGAGACAGUCUACGGCCCGUGCUGAACAUUCCACAAUCGCAUUUCUGUUUGAGGUUGGCCCUUGAUCCCAGGGCAUCGGUCUCCUGGUUGAAAGGUAGCAGAGCCCGAUUGUGGGCAGUGAGUAAUGGUGACUCAGGGAAAUUCACAAGGACACAGGGAACAGCCCCGAAGUCAUGCGGGGACAUGCCCUGCUUCCCCCUGCCGGUCAGGGAGCCAGAAUCUCUGGUCCCCAUCGUAAAGGAGGAAUUUCUAAAGUUUUCUCUGGAACUUUGGCAGAAUUCUAUGGGAUCUUUCAGAGAAAGCAUCAGGCUUUGGGUGUUUUUUUGGGGGAAAUUACUAAAAUUUUUUCACCCUUAUGUCUAUUUAUGAAUUAGGUCUUUUAGCUCCAGAUUAUAGUUGUCUCUUUAUUCCGAUGGGGUGUUUGUUACCUUGUAUGACGAACAAUAUUCCAGAAAGCAAAUAAUGACAGUAAUAAAACAGCUAACAUUUAUUCAGCCCUUACAACAUGCCAG
ensembl:lncRNA